rnacentral:rRNA from 1 species
AACGAACGCUGGCGGCAGGCUUAACACAUGCAAGUCGAACGCCCGUAGCAAUACGGGAGUGGCAGACGGGUGUGUAACGCGUGGGAAUCUCCCCAAAGGUACGGAACAACUCAGGGAAACUUGAGCUAAUACCGUAUGUGCCCGAGAGGGCAAAGAUUUAUCGCCUUUGGAUGAGCCCGCGUUGGAUUAGCUAGUUGGUGGGGUAACGGCCUACCAAGGCGACGAUCCAUAGCUGAUCUGAGAGGAUGAUCAGCCACACUGGGACUGAGACACGGCCCAGACUCCUACGGGAGGCAGCAGUGGGGAAUCUUGGACAAUGGGCGAAAGCCUGAUCCAGCCAUGCCGCGUGAGUGAAGAAGGCCUUAGGGUUGUAAAGCUCUUUUACCCGGGAAGAUAAUGACGGUACCGGGAGAAUAAGCCCCGGCAAACUUCGUGCCAGCCGCCGCAGUAACAC